CCCUUAGACGUUCUGGGCCGCACGCGCGCUACACUGACGGAGGCAACGAGCUUUCCUUUACCGAAAGGUACGGGUAAUCUUUUGAAACUUCGUCGUGCUGGGGAUAGAUCCUUGCAAUUUUUGAUCUUAAACGAGGAAUGCCUAGUAAGCGCAAGUCAUCAACUUGCGUUGAUUACGUCCCUGCCCUUUGUACACACCGCCCGUCGCUACUACCGAUUGAAUGGUUUAGUGAGGCCUUCGGAUCCGCGACUCGUUUUGUGGAGAAGUUGGACAAACUCAGUCAUUUAGAGGAAGUAAAAGUCGUAACA
rnacentral:rRNA from 1 species